GCCGGGCGUGGUGGUGUGCGCCUGUAAUCCCAGCUACUCAGGAGGCCGAGGCAGGAUAAUCGCUUGAAUCCGGGAGGUGGAGGUUGCAGUGAGCCGAAAUUGCGCCACUGCACCCCAGCCUGGGUGACAGAGUGAGACUUUGUCUCAA
rnacentral:SRP_RNA from 1 species